CUGGAACGCGCCCCAGGCGCACCCAGAAACCCUUUGUGAACUUAUACCUUACUGUUGCCUCGGCGCAUGCUGGCCCCCUCGGGGGCCCCUCGGAGACGAGGAGCAGGCACGCCGGCGGCCAAGUUAACUCUUGUUUUUACACUGAAACUCUGAGAAAAAACACAAAUGAAUCAAAACUUUCAACAACGGAUCUCUUGGUUCUGGCAUCGAUGAAGAACGCAGCGAAAUGCGAUAAGUAAUGUGAAUUGCAGAAUUCAGUGAAUCAUCGAAUCUUUGAACGCACAUUGCGCCCUCUGGUAUUCCGGAGGGCAUGCCUGUUCGAGCGUCAUUUCAACCCUCAAGCAUUGCUUGGUGUUGGGGCACUGCCUGUAAAAGGGCAGGCCCUGAAAUCUAGUGGCGAGCUCGCCAGGACCCCGAGCGCAGUAGUUAAACCCUCGCUCUGGAAGGCCCUGGCGGUGCCCUGCCGUUAAACCCCCAACUUCUGAAAAU
rnacentral:rRNA from 3 species